GGGCCCGCACAAGCAGUGGAGUAUGUGGUUUAAUUCGAAGCAACGCGAAGAACCUUACCAGGUCUUGACAUCGUGUGCAUAGCGCAGAGAUGCGCGAAGUCCUUCGGGACACACAGACAGGUGGUGCAUGGUUGUCGUCAGCUCGUGUCGUGAGAUGUUGGGUUAAGUCCCGCAACGAGCGCAACCCUUACAAUUAGUUGCUACGCAAGAGCACUCUAAUUGGACUGCCGUUGACAAAACGGAGGAAGGUGGGGAUGACGUCAAAUCAUCAUGCCCCUUAUGACCUGGGCUACACACGUACUACAAUGGCGACCAACAACGGGAAGCGAAGCCGCGAGGCGGAGCAAAUCCCCAAAAGUCGUCUCAGUUCAGAUUGCAGGCUGCAACCCGCCUGCAUGAAGUCGGAAUUGCUAGUAAUCGCGGAUCAGCAUGCCGCGGUGAAUACGUUCCCGGGCCUU
rnacentral:rRNA from 1 species